rnacentral:rRNA from 1 species
AGUGAACGCUGGCAGUAGGCCUAACACAUGCAAGUCGAACGGCAGCACAGUAAGAGCUUGCUCUUACGGGUGGCGAGUGGCGGACGGGUGAGGAAUACAUCGGAAUCUACUUUUUCGUGGGGGAUAACGUAGGGAAACUUACGCUAAUACCGCAUACGACCUACGGGUGAAAGCAGGGGAUCUUCGGACCUUGCGCGAUUGAAUGAGCCGAUGUCGGAUUAGCUAGUUGGCGGGGUAAAGGCCCACCAAGGCGACGAUCCGUAGCUGGUCUGAGAGGAUGAUCAGCCACACUGGAACUGAGACACGGUCCAGACUCCUACGGGAGGCAGCAGUGGGGAAUAUUGGACAAUGGGCGCAAGCCUGAUCCAGCCAUACCGCGUGGGUGAAGAAGGCCUUCGAGUUGUAAAGCCCUUUUGUUGGGAAAGAAAAGCAGCAGGUUAAUACCCCGCUGUUCUGACGGUACCCAAAGAAUAAGCACCGGCUAACUUCGUG